rnacentral:rRNA from 2 species
UACCCGCUGAACUUAAGCAUAUCAAUAAGCGGAGGAAAAGAAACCAACAGGGAUUGCCUCAGUAACGGCGAGUGAAGCGGCAACAGCUCAAAUUUGAAAUCUGGCCUUGGCCCGAGUUGUAAUUUGCAGAGGAUGCUUCUGGCGCGGUGCCUUCCGAGUUCCCUGGAACGGGACGCCACAGAGGGUGAGAGCCCCGUAUGGUUGGACACCAAGCCUGUGUGAAGCUCCUUCGACGAGUCGAGUAGUUUGGGAAUGCUGCUCUAAAUGGGAGGUAAAUCUCUUCUAAAGCUAAAUACCGGCCAGAGACCGAUAGCGCACAAGUAGAGUGAUCGAAAGAUGAAAAGCACCUUGAAAAGGGGGUUAAACAGUACGUGAAAUUGUUGAAAGGGAAGCGCUUAUGACCAGACUUGCGCCGGGCGGCUCAUCCAGGGUUCUCCCUGGUGCACUCCGCCCGGCUCAGGCCAGCAUCGGUUCUCGCUGGGGGAUAAGAACGGCAGGAACGUGGCCCCCUCUCGGGGGGGUGUUAUAGCCUGUCGUACGAUAUCCUGGCGGGGACCGAGGUUCGCGCUCCGCAAGGAUGCUGGCGUAAUGGUCAUCAGCGACCCGUCUUGAAACACGGACCAAGGAGUCGUCCAUUAGAGCGAGCGUUUGGGUGUAAAACCCGCACGCGUAAUGAAAGUGAAAUUAGGUGAGAGCUUCGGCGCAUCAUCGACCGAUCCUGAUGUUCUCGGAUGGAUUUGAGUAAGAGUUUUAACGGACGGACCCGAAAGACAGUGAACUAUGCUUGUAUAGGGUGAAGCCAGAGGAAACUCUGGUGGAGGCUCGCAGCGGUUCUGACGUGCAAAUCGAUCGUCAAAUAUGAGCAUGGGGGCGAAAGACUAAUCGAACUGUCUAGUAGCUGGUUACCGCCGAA